GAGGUGCUGAUUUCCUCUGUCUCUGUUCAGGGUCGAUACGGUUGCUGCAGGUUUCUCAGAGAUGGACACAGAACCCCCAAAGAGGAUCCAAACAGACUCUAUUACGAGUCCGCAGAGCUGAAGCUGUUUGAGAACAUCGAGUGCGAGUGGCCUCUGUUCUGGACCUACCUCAUACUGGAUGGCAUCUUUAUCAACAGCCCUGAACAGGUGCAGGAGUACCAGGAGGCUCUGGAGGGAAUCCUGAUCAAACAGAAGGA